GAUGAACGCUCGCGGGAGGCCUAACACAUGCAAGCCGAGCGGUAUUGUUUCUUCGGACAUGAGAGAGCGGCGUACGGGUGCGUAACACGUGUGCAACCUGCCUUUAUCUGGGGGAUAGCCUUUCGAAAGGAAGAUUAAUACUCCAUAAUAUAUUGAACGGCAUCGUUUAAUAUUGAAAGCUCCGGCGGAUAGAGAUGGGCACGCGCAAGAUUAGCUAGUUGGUGAGGUAACGGCUCACCAAGGCGAUGAUCUUUAGGGGGCCUGAGAGGGUGAUCCCCCACACUGGUACUGAGACACGGACCAGACUCCUACGGGAGGCAGCAGUGAGGAAUAUUGGUCAAUGGGUGCAAGCCUGAACCAGCCAUCCCGCGUGAAGGACGACUGCCCUAUGGGUUGUAAACUUCUUUUGUAUAGGGAUAAACCUACCCUCGUGAGGGUAGCUGAAGGUACUAUACGAAUAAGCACCGGCUAACUCCGUG
rnacentral:rRNA from 1 species